GAGUAACUCAGUAGUAGAGUGCUCCCUUGCCGCGUGAGAAAGCCGGGUUCGAUUCCCGGUCACUACACCA